rnacentral:rRNA from 1 species
UACAGAGGUCCCAAGCGUUGUUCGGAUUCACUGGGCGUAAAGGGUGCGUAGGUGGUGAGGUAAGUCGGAUGUGAAAGCUCGGAGCUCAACUCCGAAAUGGCAUUGGAAACUACCUUGCUCGAGGGUUGGAGGGGGACUGGAAUACUUGGUGGUAGCAGUGAAAUGCGUAGAUAAUCAAGGUGGAACACCAGUGGCGAAGGCGAGUCCCUGGACAACUCCUGACACUGAGGCACGAAGGCUAGGGGAGCAAACAGG